AUUGAACGCUGGCGGCAGGCCUAACACAUGCAAGUCGAGCGGAUGAAGGGAGCUUGCUCCUGGAUUCAGCGGCGGACGGGUGAGUGAUGCCUAGGAAUCUGCCUGGUAGUGGGGGAUAACGUCCGGAAACGGGCGCUAAUACCGCAUACGUCCUGAGGGAGCAAGUGGGGGAUCUUCGGACCUCACGCUAUCAGAUGAGCCUAGGUCGGAUUAGCUAGUUGGUGGGGUAACGGCCUACCAAGGCGACGAUCCGUAACUGGUCUGAGAGGAUGAUCAGUCACACUGGAACUGAGACACGGUCCAGACUCCUAAGGGAGGCAGCAGUGGGGAAUAUUGGACAAUGGGCGAAAGCCUGAUCCAGCCAUGCCGCGUGUGUGAAGAAGGUCUUCGGAUUGUAAAGCACUUUAAGUUGGGAGGAAGGGCAGUAAGUUAAUACCUUGCUGUUUUGACGUUACCAACAGAAUAAGCACCGGCUAACUUCGUG
rnacentral:rRNA from 1 species